AUGAAGGUAAGAGAUUCUUUUAUUGAAUAAGAAGCUUCAUUAUUACAUCAAACAAGAAAAAGGAAAAAGACUACAAGGUCGAAGCUUGAGUGGAGACCUCGACCACCUUGGUCUGGAGAGUUUUCGAAGUAGAAGUCUCCAUGCCUGUAGGCUCUAAUUGAGGAUGGGCUCCCUCGAUGAAUGCUAGCCCCAGCUAUGGCUGGGCUUCCUUGACAGAUGCUGACUCUAGCUAAGGCCCCUCUUUGAUGAUAGGCUUGAUCAACUGUUGAUCCUCACUUGCCUUAUCCUCAUCCAAAAAGGAAAGGUCGAGGUUGGGGAGGCAUACAGCUAUCUUCUUCCGAAGCACAUCCUACCUUAGGAAAAAAGUCUCCCUGAAAAAAACUACUUUCUCCUGGGUGAACUUCGGAGAGGAUCGAAAUGCCUUAACUACUCGCCAAUCGGCUUUAGCAAAGCAUCUCUCCUCUUCCAUCCAAAGGUCUACCUUGGCCUUCUCUAGAGUCACCUCAGCCCUUCUUUGCACAAUUCAGCCUUUCUCUA
rnacentral:lncRNA from 1 species